CCAGACUCCUACGGGAGGCAGCAGUGGGGAAUAUUGCACAAUGGGGGAAACCCUGAUGCAGCGACGCCGCGUGAAGGACGAAGUAUUUCGGUACGUAAACUUCUAUCAGCAGGGAAGAAAAUGACGGCACCUGACCAAGAAGCCCCGGCUAACUACGUGCCAGCAGCCGCGGUAAUACGUAGGGGGCAAGCGUUAUCCGGAUUUACUGGGUGUAAAGGGAGCGUAGACGGCGAUACAAGUCUGAAGUGAAAGCCCGGGGCUCAACCCCGGGACUGCUUUGGAAACUGUGUUGCUGGAGUGCUGGAGAGGCAAGCGGAAUUCCUAGUGUAGCGGUGAAAUGCGUAGAUAUUAGGAAGAACACCAGUGGCGAAGGCGGCUUGCUGGACAGUAACUGACGUUGAGGCUCGAAAGCGUGGGGAGCAAACAGGAUUAGAUACCCGAGUA
rnacentral:rRNA from 1 species